ACACCCAGACACACUGUCUCUUCCUUCCGUGUGUGUUGACAGAUGUGACAGGAGAGCCAUCCUGACCUGCGUCUCUGGUGGAGGGUGCACAACAUCAGCUGCAUGCAGGGAGUGGUCUGCGAGGCUGGGGCUAGGAAUGGGAUCGUCUCCCUGUGGUAUUGCUGCUUUGAGCUUCAUCUAUGCGUGUGUCCCAUGAGCAAACUAAACAAAUGGAAGGCUUCUGCUAAGCUUCGACUCUCACAAAACUCAGCUCCUUGCCUCCAACGAAUCAACAGCCACAAACCCCGUGCAGGCUGGAGCAGUGGUCUCAUGAGGAAGCCAGGACGUGACCCUGGAGGCUGCAGCAUGUGAUAUGUGACACUCUGAGAUCUUGGCUCUCCUGCUGGUGCCCCUUUUUUACGGAAGUUGGGCACAGCAGCUCUGCCAGAGAGAACAAGGUAUGGGGCUCUCUGUUGCAUAGGGAGACAAUUGAGUGUGACCUACUUCUAAUGCUC
rnacentral:lncRNA from 1 species